rnacentral:tRNA from 1 species
AUUAAGUUAGACUAAACCUAAGUCAUGAGAUUCAUAAUCUUAAGAUAUAUCUUAAUU